AGAGGGCGACCGGCCACACUGGGACUGAGACACGGCCCAGACUCCUACGGGAGGCAGCAGUGGGGAAUAUUGCACAAUGGGCGCAAGCCUGAUGCAGCGACGCCGCGUGAGGGAUGACGGCCUUCGGGUUGUAAACCUCUUUCAGCAGGGACGAAGCGCAAGUGACGGUACCUGCAGAAGAAGCACCGGCCAACUACGUGCCAGCAGCCGCGGUAAUACGUAGGGUGCGAGCGUUGUCCGGAAUUACUGGGCGUAAAGAGCUCGUAGGCGGUUUGUCGCGUCGGCUGUGAAAACCCGCAGCUCAACUGCGGGCUUGCAGGGGAUACGGGCAGACUCGAGUACUGCAGGGGAGACUGGAAUUCCUGGUGUAGCGGUGAAAUGCGCAGAUAUCAGGAGGAACACCGGUGGCGAAGGCGGAUCUCUGGGCAGUAACUGACGCUGAGGAGCGAAAGGGUGGGUAGCGAACAGGAUUAGAUACCCUGGUAGUCCACGCCGUAAACGGUGGGCGCUAGGUGUGGGUUUCCUUCCACGGGAUCCGUGCCGUAGCCAACGCAUUAAGCGCCCCGCC
rnacentral:rRNA from 1 species